ACGUCAAGUCAUCAUGGCCCUUACGGCCAGGGCUACACACGUGCUACAAUGGUGGGUACAGAGGGUUGCCAGCCAGCGAUAGUGAGCGAAUCCCAAAAAGCGGGUCGUAGUCCGGAUCGGAGUCUGCAACUCGACUCCGUGAAGUCGGAAUCGCUAGUAAUCGCAAAUCAGAAUGUUGCGGUGAAUACGUUCCCGGGCCUUGUACACACCGCCCGUCACACCAUGGGAGUGGGUUGCACC
rnacentral:rRNA from 1 species